CCUACGGGUGGCAGCAGUAGGGAAUUUUGCGCAAUGGGGGAAACCCUGACGCAGCAACGCCGCGUGAUCGAUGAAGCCCCUCGGGGUGUAAAGAUCUGUCAGUGGGGACGAAACCUGACGGUACCCACAGAGGAAGCACCGGCCAACCCCGUGCCAGGAGCCGCGGUAAUACGGGGGGGGCAAGCGUUAUCCGGAUAUAUUGGGGUUAAAGGGUGCGUAGGCUGUGAGGUAAGUCAGCGGUGGAAUGCCCCAGGUCAACGGGGUGAAGUGCCAUUGAUACUGCCUUGCUGGAAUGCGGAUGCGGUGGGAGGAAUGUGUGGUGUAGCGGUGAAAUGCAUAGAGAUCACACAGAACACCGAUUGCGAAGGCAUCUCACGAAGCCACGAUUGACGCUGAUGCACGAAAGCGUGGGUAUCAAACAGGAUUAGAUACCCCUGUAGUC
rnacentral:rRNA from 1 species